rnacentral:sRNA from 1 species
UAGACUCUCCUGUCCACCGCACGCAUG